rnacentral:rRNA from 1 species
CGAACGCUGGCGGCAGGCCUAAUACAUGCAAGUCGAACGGCUCUUCGGAGCAGUGGCGGACGGGUGAGUAACGCGUGGGAAUGUGCCCUUAGGUACGGAACAACACAGGGAAACUUGUGCUAAUACCGUAUGUGCCCUUCGGGGGAAAGAUUUAUCGCCUUUGGAGCAGCCCGCGUUGGAUUAGGUAGUUGGUGAGGUAAAGGCUCACCAAGCCGACGAUCCAUAGCUGGUCUGAGAGGAUGACCAGCCACACUGGGACUGAGACACGGCCCAGACUCCUACGGGAGGCAGCAGUAGGGAAUCUUGCGCAAUGGGCGAAAGCCUGACGCAGCCAUGCCGCGUGUAUGAUGAAGGUCUUAGGAUUGUAAAAUACUUUCACCGGGGAAGAUAAUGACGGUACCCGGAGAAGAAGCCCCGGCUAACUUCGUGCCAGCCGCCGCGGUAA